rnacentral:rRNA from 1 species
ACAAAGACUGACACUCAGAUGCGAAAGCGUGGGUAGCAAACAGGAUUAGAUACCCUGGUAGUCCACGCCGUAAACGCUGUCUACUUGGAGGUUGAGGUUUUAGACUUUGGCUUUCGGCGCUAACGCAUUAAGUAGACCGCCUGGGGAGUACGGCCGCAAGGUUAAAACUCAAAUGAAUUGACGGGGGCCCGCACAAGCGGUGGAGCAUGUGGUUUAAUUCGAUGCAACGCGAAGAACCUUACCUACUCUUGACAUCCAGCGAAGCCUUUAGAGAUAGAGGCGUGCCUUCGGGAGCGCUGAGACAGGUGCUGCAUGGCUGUCGUCAGCUCGUGUUGUGAAAUGUUGGGUUAAGUCCCGUAACGAGCGCAACCCUUAUCCUUGUUUGCCAGCACGUAAUGGUGGGAACUCCAGGGAGACUGCCGGUGGUAAACCGGAGGAAGGUGGGGACGACGUCAAGUCAUCAUGGCCCUUACGAGUAGGGCUACACACGUGCUACAAUGGCAGAUACAGAGGGCAGCGAGACAGCGAUGUUUAGCGAAUCCCUUAAAGUUUGUCGUAGUCCGGAUUGGAGUCCGCAACUCGACUCCAUGAAGUCGGAAUCGCUAGUAAUCGUGGAUCAGAAUGCCACGGUGAAUACGUUCCCGGGCCUUGUACACACCGCCCGU